rnacentral:rRNA from 1 species
UACGGAGGGGGCUAGCGUUAUUCGGAAUUAUUGGGCGUAAAGGGCGCGUAGGCGAUUCGAAAAGUCAACUGUGAAAGCCCAGGGCCUAACCCUGGAAGUGCAGCUGAUACUGUUGAAUUUGAGUUCCGGAGAGGAAGGCAGAAUUCCGGUGUAGCGGUGAAAUGCGUAGAUAUCGGGAGGAAUACCAGUGGCGAAGGCGGCCUUCUGGACGGAUACUGACGCUGAGGCGCGAAAGCUAGGGGAGCAAACGGG